rnacentral:rRNA from 1 species
AUGGAAGGGGGGUGGGGAUGACGUCAAGUGAUCAUGGCCCUUACGGCCUGUGCUACACACGUGCUACAAUGGUCGGUACAGAGGGUUGCGAAGCCGCGAGGUGGAGCUAAUCUCAUAAAACCGAUCGUAGUCCGGAUCGCAGUCUGCAACUCGACUGCGUGAAGUCGGAAUCGCUAGUAAUCGCAAAUCAGAAUGUUGCGUUGAAUACGUUCCCGGGCCUUGUACCACACCGCCCGUCACACCAUGGGGGUGGGUUGCACCAGAAGUAGCU